rnacentral:rRNA from 1 species
UGGGGAAUUUUGGACAAUGGGCGCAAGCCUGAUCCAGCCAUGCCGCGUGCGGGAAGAAGGCCUUCGGGUUGUAAACCGCUUUUGUCAGGGAAGAAAUCUUCUGAGUUAAUACCUCGGGAGGAUGACGGUACCUGAAGAAUAAGCACCGGCUAACUACGUGCCAGCAGCCGCGGUAAUACGUAGGGUGCAAGCGUUAAUCGGAAUUACUGGGCGUAAAGCGUGCGCAGGCGGUUUUGUAAGACAGAGGUGAAAUCCCCGGGCUCAACCUGGGAACUGCCUUUGUGACUGCAAGGCUUGAGUGCGGCAGAGGGGGAUGGAAUUCCGCGUGUAGCAGUGAAAUGCGUAGAUAUGCGGAGGAACACCGAUGGCGAAGGCAAUCCCCUGGGCCUGCACUGACGCUCAUGCACGAAAGCGUGGGGAGCAAACAGGAUUAGAUAGCCCUGGUAGUCCACGCCCUAAACGAUGUCAACUGGUUGUUGGGGAAGGUUCCUUCUCAGUAACGUAGCUAACGCGUGAAGUUGACCGCCUGGGGAGUACGGCCGCAAGGUUG